rnacentral:misc_RNA from 1 species
UGGAGGUGAGCUUGCUGGAAUC